CUGAUGAUGACUAUAGUUUAGUCGAAACGUCGAAAUAAAUUUUUCAAAAUGUUUUCAAUUUUCGGAGUAUCUAUAGUUUUGUAUAUUUCUAUAUUGACUAUAUAUAGUAUUGCUCGUUUGCAAUCGACGCCAUCUUGGUUGAUUUUCGUGGCAACUAAAAAUCUAUAUUCUUCAUUCUUCGUCGUUUUGUGCCAGAAAUCGUAAACUAUCCAUAAUAUAGUGAGAUGUUUUCAAAACAAACCAAAAAUAUUAAAGUUACUCAACUAUUUCGAUGUAAACGGCUGGACAAAACUUUAAAAUCAACCAAGAUGGCGCCUAAUGCCACGUAGUGACGUCAUGUGCAAGCAAAGAAUAGAUAGGCGAGGCAUUUUUCACCACCGUUCCGGAAACAACGUCGUUCGUAAUAAAAUUUUGAUAUGUCAACGUCCAAAAGUAUGUUUGUCGGUGCGAGAAAAAUAGGUAAUUCAAUUCUGAGAAAGGUAAUUCAAUUCUACUUUUCUGGGGAUAGUUAAUUGGCGGUUAUUAUCAUAUUAGAUUAAACGAAGAUAA